rnacentral:rRNA from 1 species
UACGUAGGGUCCGAGCGUUGUCCGGAAUUAUUGGGCGUAAAGGGCUCGUAGGCGGUUUGUCGCGUCGGGAGUGAAAACCAGAGGCUUAACUUCUGGCUUACUUUCGAUACGGGCAGACUUGAGGCAUGCAGGGGAGAACGGAAUUCCUGGUGUAGCGGUGAAAUGCGCAGAUAUCAGGAAGAACACCCGUGGCGAAGGCGGUUCUCUGGGACGGUACUGACGCUGAGACGCGAAAGCGUGGGGAGCGAACAGG